GGGGCGGUAGCUCAGUUGGGAGAGCGCAGCAAUCGCACUGCUAAGGUCGUGGGUUCGACCCCCAUCCGCUCCA
rnacentral:tRNA from 1 species